GGAAUGGUAUUUUUAAACUACCUUCAAAUUAUAUGCACAUGUAAUUUUAUGGAAAGAGAUACAAUAGGAAUUAAUAGUACUAUAUAUUAAGAAAAAAUAUUUUGAUAUUUAUAUACAUAUACAAGCCAAAAUAAUUAGAAAUUCUGCACCUAGUAAAAUUAUCUAAGUUUAUGCUGGAUGAGCAUCCCUCACCCAAAAUCUGAAAUGGUCCAAAAUCUGAAACUUUAAGUGCUAAUGUGAUGUAACAAGUGGAAAAUUCCAUACCCUGAAGAUUUUUUUCAAUACAUUUUUGCAGUACUGGUUAUUGAACUCAGGGCCUCGUGCAUGUGCAGCAAGUGCUCUACCACUUAGGUACAUUCUCAGCCUAUUUUAUUUUAUUUUAUUUUUGAGGCAGAUUCUCAUUAAAUUGUGUAACUGGCCUCAAAUUCAUGAUCCUGCCUCAGCCUCCCAAGUAGCUGGGAUGCAAUACAGGCAUGGGCCACCAUGUCACACUCACACCAUGAAAAUUUGUUUCAUGCACAAAAGUAUUUAAAGUACUGUAUAACAUUACCUUCGGACUACGAGUAUAUAUAAAUUUCACAUAUGAGUAUAUGUGAAACAAAUUAAUUUAGAUUUGAGUCCUAUCUCUUAGUUAUUUCAUUAUGCAUGCACAAAUAUUGAAAAUUCCAGAAGAGUCCAAUGUGCUUCUGGUCCCAGGCAUUUCAAAUAAGGGAUAUUCAACCUGUAGUUUAAUACCUUAGUCAAGACACACUGCUCCUCUGUGUUCUUUAUGGUCAGAGGAGCCCUUACUCCAGUUCUUCUGGUUUAGGGGCAGGCAAACAUUGUCAACUACUCUCUGCACUCCUCAUUUUCUUCUUCCAACCUGUUCUAGAAGUUCCAACAACCCAAGCUUACCUUCAUGUAACGUCUGCACUGCCAGUGGGAGCAUCUUUGACAUAGCAAGGAACUUCUGUUCUGGUUUGGGUUGGCAUGCUAUGCUGCUUCCUGCCCCUCCAACUUUACCCCAUCCAUGCUACUUUUGGGGCUUGCAGAGAGCAGCGGCACAACUCCGCUCAGAAAGAAAGUAGAACUUUCCACUCCUUUAAAAAAUGGGCAUUUCCACAUCUAACCAUGAGGUAACAAACACAGAUUUGCAUACUUAUUCUUCAUGUACUGUAAGAGCUGGUGAGUGGUAUUCUGUGUGCGAAACACCAGUAAAUGCAACCACGUGUGUAUGUGUGUGCACCUACAUGUGUAUAAGAAUAAUUAUGCAAGCUGUGUUGCUACUGCACUUAGGUGAGCCACUUACCACCUCUGGGUCUCCCUUUCCUCUUUGAGUUCUUGUCUAACCAUGAAUCCCAACAAUUUUCUCAGACUGGGUAAAUUGUAUUGGUGAUUUUUUUUGUCAGGUUGUGAUUUCAUAUACAUAGACACCUGUAACAUUGAAGAAUUAUUUUUCUAAGAAACCCAAAUUUUAGUUCUUAGUGUAUGAUAGCUACCUUCCUCAUAUUACACUUGGGUGGGGGGAGUUCUGGGGACAGAAGCCAAGGCCGCAGCAUGCUAGGCAAGCGCUCUACCACGGAGCUAUACCAACAGCCCCGUCACUGGUCUGUUAACACCAUUGAAAGAAACUUAAUUUGAGUUUUUCUACCUCUAAGAAAGAGGAAAUAUAAUACAUACAAGAACUCCUUUAAAAUGACAUUUCCCCCCAGAAUUAUACCCAAAUUCUGUAGUGGUUACAGAUCGCAGAUAAUUUCAGAUUUCGGAAGAG
ensembl:lncRNA